rnacentral:rRNA from 1 species
CAGUCGCACGGGAAUACGUAGGGCGCAAGCGUUAUCCGGAAUUAUUGGGCGUAAAGAGCUCGUAGGCGGUUUGUCGCGUCUGCCGUGAAAGUCCGGGGCUCAACCCCGGAUCUGCGGUGGGUACGGGCAGACUAGAGUGAUGUAGGGGAGACUGGAAUUCCUGGUGUAGCGGUGAAAUGCGCAGAUAUCAGGAGGAACACCGAUGGCGAAGGCAGGUCUCUGGGCAUUAACUGACGCUGAGGAGCGAAAGCAUGGGGAGCGAACAGGAUUAGAUACCCCCGUAGUCCCUGUCUCUUAUACA